GGUUAAGCGACUAAGCGUACACGGUGGAUGCCCUGGCAGUCAGAGGCGAUGAAGGACGUGCUAAUCUGCGAAAAGCGUCGGUAAGGUGAUAUGAACCGUUAUAGCCGGCGAUGUCCGAAUGGGGAAACCCAGUGCAAUUCGUUGCACUAUCGUUAACUGAAUACAUAGGUUAACGAGGCGAACCGGGGGAACUGAAACAUCUAAGUACCCCGAGGAAAAGAAAUCAACCGAGAUUCCCCCAGUAGCGGCGAGCGAACGGGGAGCAGCCCAGAGUCUGAAUCAGCUUGUGUGUUAGUGGAACGGUCUGGAAAGUCCGACGGUACAGGGUGAUAGUCCCGUACACCAAAAUGCACAGGUUGUGAACUCGAAGAGUAGGGCGGGACACGUGGUAUCCUGUCUGAAUAUGGGGGGACCAUCCUCCAAGGCUAAAUACUCCUGACUGACCGAUAGUGAACCAGUACCGUGAGGGAAAGGCGAAAAGAACCCCGGCGAGGGGAGUGAAAAAGAACCUGAAACCGUGUACGUACAAGCAGUGGGAGCACCUUUAUGGUGUGACUGCGUACCUUUUGUAUAAUGGGUCAGCGACUUAUAUUCUGUAGCAAGGUUAACCGUAUAGGGGAGCCGCAGGGAAACCGAGUCUUAACUGGGCGUUAAGUUGCAGGGUAUAGACCCGAAACCCGGUGAUCUAGCCAUGGGCAGGUUGAAGGUUGGGUAACACUAACUGGAGGACCGAACCGACUAAUGUUGAAAAAUUAGCGGAUGACUUGUGGCUGGGGGUGAAAGGCCAAUCAAACCGGGAGAUAGCUGGUUCUCCCCGAAAGCUAUUUAGGUAGCGCCUCGUGAAUUCAUCUUCGGGGGUAGAGCACUGUUUCGGCUAGGGGGUCAUCCCGACUUACCAACCCGAUGCAAACUACGAAUACCGAAGAAUGUUAUCACGGGAGACACACGGCGGGUGCUAACGUCCGUCGUGAAGAGGGAAACAACCCAGACCGCCAGCUAAGGUCCCAAAGUCAUGGUUAAGUGGGAAACGAUGUGGGAAGGCACAGACAGCCAGGAUGUUGGCUUAGAAGCAGCCAUCAUUUAAAGAAAGCGUAAUAGCUCACUGGUCGAGUCGGCCUGCGCGGAAGAUGUAACGGGGCUAAACCAUGCACCGAAGCUGCGGCAGCGACACGAUGUGUUGUUGGGUAGGGGAGCGUUCUGUAAGCCUGCGAAGGUGGCCUGUGAGGGUUGCUGGAGGUAUCAGAAGUGCGAAUGCUGACAUAAGUAACGAUAAAGCGGGUGAAAAGCCCGCUCGCCGGAAGACCAAGGGUUCCUGUCCAACGUUAAUCGGGGCAGGGUGAGUCGACCCCUAAGGCGAGGCCGAAAGGCGUAGUCGAUGGGAAACAGGUUAAUAUUCCUGUACUUGGUGUUACUGCGAAGGGGGGACGGAGAAGGCUAUGUUAGCCGGGCGACGGUUGUCCCGGUUUAAGCAUGUAGGCUGGUUAUCCAGGCAAAUCCGGAUAAUCAAGGCUGAGGUGUGAUGACGAGGCACUACGGUGCUGAAGUAACAAAUGCCCUGCUUCCAGGAAAAGCCUCUAAGCAUCAGGUAACAUCAAAUCGUACCCCAAACCGACACAGGUGGUCAGGUAGAGAAUACCAAGGCGCUUGAGAGAACUCGGGUGAAGGAACUAGGCAAAAUGGUGCCGUAACUUCGGGAGAAGGCACGCUGGUGUGUAGGUGAAGUCCCUGCGGAUGGAGCUGAGACCAGUCGAAGAUACCAGCUGGCUGCAACUGUUUAUUAAAAACACAGCACUGUGCAAACACGAAAGUGGACGUAUACGGUGUGACGCCUGCCCGGUGCCGGAAGGUUAAUUGAUGGGGUUAUCCGUAAGGAGAAGCUCUUGAUCGAAGCCCCGGUAAACGGCGGCCGUAACUAUAACGGUCCUAAGGUAGCGAAAUUCCUUGUCGGGUAAGUUCCGACCUGCACGAAUGGCGUAAUGAUGGCCAGGCUGUCUCCACCCGAGACUCAGUGAAAUUGAACUCGCUGUGAAGAUGCAGUGUACCCGCGGCAAGACGGAAAGACCCCGUGAACCUUUACUAUAGCUUGACACUGAACAUUGAGCCUUGAUGUGUAGGAUAGGUGGGAGGCUUUGAAGCGUGGACGCCAGUCUGCGUGGAGCCAACCUUGAAAUACCACCCUUUAAUGUUUGAUGUUCUAACGUGGGCCCCUAAUCGGGGUUGCGGACAGUGUCUGGUGGGUAGUUUGACUGGGGCGGUCUCCUCCCAAAGCGUAACGGAGGAGCACGAAGGUUAGCUAAUCCUGGUCGGACAUCAGGAGGUUAGUGCAAUGGCAUAAGCUAGCUUGACUGCGAGCGUGACGGCGCGAGCAGGUGCGAAAGCAGGUCAUAGUGAUCCGGUGGUUCUGAAUGGAAGGGCCAUCGCUCAACGGAUAAAAGGUACUCCGGGGAUAACAGGCUGAUACCGCCCAAGAGUUCAUAUCGACGGCGGUGUUUGGCACCUCGAUGUCGGCUCAUCACAUCCUGGGGCUGAAGUAGGUCCCAAGGGUAUGGCUGUUCGCCAUUUAAAGUGGUACGCGAGCUGGGUUUAGAACGUCGUGAGACAGUUCGGUCCCUAUCUGCCGUGGGCGCUGGAGAAUUGAGGGGGGCUGCUCCUAGUACGAGAGGACCGGAGUGGACGCAUCACUGGUGUUCGGGUUGUCAUGCCAAUGGCACUGCCCGGUAGCUAAAUGCGGAAGAGAUAAGUGCUGAAAGCAUCUAAGCACGAAACUUGCCCCGAGAUGAGUUCUCCCUGAGACUAUAAGUCUCCUGAAGGAACGUUGAAGACGACGACGUUGAUAGGCCGGGUGUGUAAGCGCAGCGAUGCGUUGAGCUAACCGGUACUAAUGAACCGUGAGGCUUAACCUU
rnacentral:rRNA from 1 species